UACGUAGGCGGCAAGCGUUGUCCGGAAUUAUUGGGUGUAAAGGGUGCGUAGACGGGAAAUUAAGUUAGUAGUGGAAUCCCCAGGCUCAACUUGGGAAUUGCUACUAAGACUGGUUUUCUUGAGUACUGGAGAGGAAAGUGGAAUUCCUAGUGUAGCGGUGAAAUGCGUAGAUAUUAGGAGGAACACCAGUGGCGAAGGCGACUUUCUGGACAGAAACUGACGUUGAGGCACGAAAGUGUGGGGAGCAAAC
rnacentral:rRNA from 1 species